UGGGUUUUCUGUCACGACAGUAGGGCAGUAGCACUGAGCACGGCCUCGGCAGCCUUCCCACCAAAAAGCACGCAGAUCCGAGGUGCAGGCAGUUAGACUCUUCCUCCCAGGAUGGCUUUCCCCAGCAACAUUACCUGAAACUUUAAGGCAAGCUCAUCUUUAUUCUGUCAACAGCAGUGGUGAAGGACUGAAUCCACAGCCACCAUUGCCCGCUCCAGCAGAUCUACUAAGGUGCUCCUUUUACUGCAAAUCCCAGCAACCCUCCAGUGACCUGAUGCAUGAUUAUCAUUAAGCGAUGCUGGCCAGCUAUGCUUUAUCUUCACAACCAUAACAGCGCAUAUUAAGCCAGGUCUGUACAAUACUACAGUGUGGUGCAGGCUGGAAAGGCAGACUUCUUGUAUCAAGACAGAAGUCUUACCCAUGUACAAACCUUACUGGUUGCCAGAUGUUGGGAAAGCUGUGACUUCAAGAACUGUUAAGAAAAGCCCACAGUUGCUGAAAUCUGACUGCAUCUCCAUCCAGUGUGACAGCAUCCAAGCCACAGUUUGCUCUCUGCAUAUCCUUCCACUACUACAAUAAAAAGUGAGUAGCCCAGCAGUCAAUGCUUGCAGCUCAGAGCAAUUGGAAUUGCACGGGGCCUACUUCCAAGCCUGCCAUUAUGCAAGUCUGGGAAAGGCACCAAAUUCUCCCUGUGUCCCCAACCCCUCCCCGCCCCCCAUUGAAACAAAACACCCAUCAAGCAGCAGGCUGGCUCGUCUGAAUGAAUUAAUAGCUACAAAACAAUUUGUGUUCCACACAAGUCUGUCAAAGCCAUUAUCAAGAGUCUGACAUGGGUUAUCACCUGCUCGUUCAGAAGCAAUGGCCGAAAAGAGGCUACAUCAGGACCUGCAGAAUGACCUGGCCUCUGGGAAAGAUUUGACAUCAUGCAAAUAUCUAACAGUAACAUUUAUCCAUCAGGAGUGACAUAAACUAGACUUGAACCAGGCAGUCUGCAGUUUUAUAGCCACUCAGAGCCUUCAAAGAUUUAAGCAUUCAAAUAAUGUCAGCUGCUUGAAACCUAAAUAGUUUGAAGAGCAGGGCCUCAGGAUAAGCCUGCUAACCUGACUAAAUUUAUGCCAUUGAGAAUGCCAGCCCUGAUGUCUCACCUGAUACCUGUGGAGAAGCAACUGUGGAUUGAGAACCCACCUGGUUAAUAAACACAACACAGUAUCUUGCUUCUUAAUAGGGAGGUAUAAUCAAUGUUAAUCUUAUGGGUGUGCUACUAAAUAUCCAUCCAAAGGGGAUGUUUAUUUUGCAAUUUCCCUCUUCCUUAAUGGCAGCUUUUCCCCACUCUGCACAAUCAGUCACCCUGCAGUUCACAGCUAUAAAUAUUUUUGCUCGAUAACUGUAGUAUUUCAGUGUCUUCCAUCUUAAGCUUUGCCUCAUCCAUUAUCCACAGCUCCUUUGUAACAGAGGUUUUGAGCUGAUGUCCUCUGUUAAGCUGUGCAAACUGAUCCAUACCAGGUACCUGAAGGAGCAGUAUCAAAGGAGAGCAAGCUCCUGCCUUGGGCAACUCAGAGAGGAUGCACGCCAUUUGCAGAGAUGUCCAUCUCAGACUGAAGAAGAUGUAUUAGUCUGAGAGAUGAGAAGAGAGAGGGGAACAGAGAAGGAAAAGGACAGGAAGGGUAAUGAUAAGAAUGGGAUGCAGAAGCACAUGGUAGGGGAAAGGUGAAGCAACACAGCAAUGGGGAAGAGGCAUGAUGUCUAGGAAGAAAUAGGGAUGAAAGAAAGGAGUGGGGUCCCUGGCAGCUGGCGUGGCUUAAGAGAGGUGAAACUGAGGAGACAGUCUAUGUGGAAGAGGGGAGAUUGCACAGAAGAUGAACACAGUUGUGGGUAUGGAUGGAAAACCUAGUUGCAGAUACACUUAGGUCCCUACCUACUAAGUCCUAGCUAUGGAAAAAGAUUUGGAGUUGCUAUACAGUUAACUUAGCAAGAGCCAAAACAUUCCAACUGUUUGUUUGUUUGUUUGCUUUAUACCGGGGCUUGAGUGAUGCCUAACUUGAUGUCUAAGACAAUGUCUGUAAGAACAGAGAAUGAAACACGGUGACCUGGAGAUUCUUCUCAGGCAGAAAGCUUGGGAAUUGUGGGAGUAGUUGGUGAAUAAAUAGCAGAAGAAGGUAGCAUUAGGAUUUAUGGAGAAAGAGGAGCAGGAAGGGUGUACAAGGCAUAUGAAUGGAUUGAAGGAAAUGCAGUUGGUACAAUUGUUCCUAGCUUCUUGAGCAACCAUGUACAAGUGCCCUACGUGAAGCUGGCUUUGCUGCAGGCUUUAUAGCUAAUGUUGUUUUAAUUUCUGACAUGUCACUAAUGGAGAAAGAUUUAAUAUGUAUUUAUUCAACGUCACUAAAAAUAUUCUGGCAGUUGAGGGGGAUGGAGAAUAAGGAUGAUCAAUGAGAGGCAUGGAGAGGUCCUGCGCUUCUGUAAAGACUCAGAUGCAAUGCUUAAAAAUGGGGGUUGGAAAAGCUCUCUCCCAGUAACCUCUGCCAUGAAAACCUGCUGUCAAGUGUCAGGCCAGAUUAGGGAAACUGGGCAGAAGAUGAAAGACCCUUCUCCUAAGUGCAGCCUAUUGAAGUGGAGGUAGCUGCACUGUAACAGCAGUGCCUGUACCUGGCAAGUUCUCAUUAGAAAUACAUAUUGUUUCCCUGGUUUCGUAUGGUAAGUCCCUUCACCACUGUUAACACUUGCUGUGUUAGCAGUGAGUGAUAAUCUGGCAGGUCUUGAUCUGUUUCACAAAAUCUGCAAGAAGUAUGUGGCAGUAGGUCAGCUGAGAUACAGAUGGAUAUGUCACUCUCUUCUUCCUUCUCCUACCUGGUACAAAGCUGAGUUUCUGGCUCCUGUCCUGUGCUCCUUCCUUGCCUCUGCACGGGAAGGCUUGGCCCUACAAGAGAGGUGGCAGAGGGCCUUCUGUCUUAAUGCGACAGGGCUGGAUCCAGCCUCGAUGCAGGUGAGGAGGCACAUGCUGCGCAGGCUGUACAGAUAUGCAGCUACCUCUACCUGGUGUGGCCUAGAUAGCAUUUGACAUGCUGGGCAGGGUACAUGGCACCCUGCCCUUCCUGCAGUAGUGGGAAGAGAAUUAAAUCCUUCCUGCGCCAGGAGCAACAGUGAUGUCCUGAAUCCUCCAGCCACUGGCCUUUUGGUCAGUGAAUAACAAAGAUCUCAACAGCAAAAGGAGGUUUGUUUGCGCACAGUAAGCAGCUCUGUCCCUGUGCUUGCUAAUGAGAGAUAGACUCACAUAAAUUCAAGCCUCCAUGAGCACCAAGGGGGCUUGGAUCCAGAUUAGACAGUGCUUGGAUGAUUUGGUGAUUGGCACCUUAGAAAUUACUUAGAUAGACAGAGCAGAGUGGAAAUAGAUGGGUCUUUGCAGCUUUGGCUCUUCUCUGCUAGUUAUAAUUAUUUGAGAUGAUGUUUCACAUCACAUUCAAACUCCUGUGCAGAUAGCAGCGGCACAGAACAAGAGAUCUUAGCCACCUAGGAGAGGAUUAUGUGGAUAUGACAAUGUUCAAACCCACUGGGCUCUGCCAUGCUGCAUUAUUUAAGCCCAGUAACCAAAUUUAGUAACCAGCCCCUGAGGCACUGAGAGAAAAACACAGCUUCCAGAGCUCCCUUCCCUCACAGUCCUCUCGGCUUCCUCCCUUAAAGGAGCCACCAGCUUUUUCUCCCUCAGCCCCACAAGCCAGGCCUGAUUUCCCACUUCUGGGAACAGUGAAGUCCUUUGCACAACUGUAACUUGUGGCCUGGGUACCCUCUACCAUGUGCACUGUGAAGCCAUGGGAAUCCAACAUGGAGUCAUCCUCAUGGGAAGCCAAAGCCAUCUCCGCCUCAGGCCUUCAGGAUGCAAGGCACAAAGGCUGUAUCUGUGCAGUGAAGCACAUGCUCAGGUGCAGGCAAGACUGCCCUGCAGACAGCAUGGUGCCUGUGUGGGCUAUGGGCUACUUCCUGGCUAUAGCUCUGCUCUAAACACCCAUGUGUGCUCAGGCUGUUAAUGCUGCCCUCUCUGCCCUUUCAUGAGAAACUUAGCAGGCUCUCACCCGCCUGGAAGCUUUGCAGCUCCAGCAAAACCUGUGUCUGAAUGUACCUGCUGGUGAUGUGUGUGAAAACAGCAAUUCUGGACAUACGGACAGGCUCAGGCUUGUGCUUGGGUGAGAUUGCUCCUUGUCUCCUUGCCCACUGAAGCUGCAGCUGGUGAAAAGAGGUGGGCUCAGAUCCAACUCCACCAAGUGAGGCCUGUCCUCAGCAGCAGGGCUUUGUCACUGCUCCACAAUGCCACAGUGCCAAAAGAUGGCAAUUAAUGGCAAAUAAUUGACCAAUUUUGUAAAGGACUAGGGCAAAGGAAGCCUGGGAGGCUUGGACAGAGCCUAUCCAAAGGUCCUUCAGAUUGCUUGUCACCUGGCUUGUGUCAGUGACCAGAUGCCAAGCUGCAGCAGAGCCUUGCCUCUCUGGUAAGAAAGGAGUGCUCAAGUCUAUGUACAUGACCAAGCUCUCCAAAGCAAGCUGCCGGAAGGAGAGGUGGGACAAGGUGAAUAUUUAACCAGCACCAUGUCAAAAGCAAACACAUGUCUGCUGUGUUGUUUUAUCAUCGCAUUGGGCAUUGGUUGCGUACACGCAUUUGAGGCAACAUUACUCCCUGCGGAUCCUGGCAGAGCUGGCUUGGCAUGCAAGGAGGUCAUUUCAGUAAAAGCCAAGCUCAGCCUCAGGGAGCCACAAAACAGUGCUGAGACCUGCUGGUACUGUAGGUGACUCCUGCCACCAUGGCUAUUAACUGCAAGGCGUGCCCUCUCCGAGGCGGCGAUCGGACGCCAUAGCCUCUUAAAACUGUCUGCUGUCUCUUGGAUCCCUCCCUGGCCUUCAGCCCAGUGCCCUGGAGGCAGCGAGAUGGAGUCUGCUGUUUACAAACACAGCCUUCAUAAAACCUUGUGUGGAAUGAGAAAGAGGAGCAAGCCUCACUGAAGUGCCCUGGGAGGAGCAGAUCUAAUUGGAGAUUGCCAGGAACUUCUUCCUGAGCUGCCUUUGCUGACCUGGAUGAGCCACAGCUGAGCUGCCAAGAUGAGGAGCAAUGGGAACCAGCUGCAAGGGGCCUCUGUUUGGUCAGGGAUCCUGGUGAGACCGCCCUGUGUGAGCUGGGCGGCAGGGCCAGAUCUGCAAGGGAAGAGACACCCUAAGGCUUCACAGGCAGGGGUCAGCCAUGUGUACUUCUUGUACCAUUCCCAGGUGCCCAGCUUUGGGUGUUCAGGAUUGAUCAGGCUUUUUAACUCUGCUGUUGUUGCUGGGUUUUUUUGUAAUACUCAGUCCAGCCAUGCUAACCAAACACUAAGAUGGGUUAUUUAUCACAUACCUAGAGUGCCACAACAAAUAGGGCCUGUUGCUCCAGUUUGCCUAAGCUGCCCGUACUCCACAGUGAUUUUACCUGGAAACCACAGUGUCUUCCCAGUAUUUCUAUUGUUCUAGUGGCCACCAGAGCCAAUACCAGUACUGGCCUCUGGUGAAGGGUGCCAGCAAGUUGGUAAUGCUUGGCAUAAACCGAGUACAUCUUUCUUCCCGCGCAGUGGUGCCCCGUCAGUUCAUCCCUCCUCUGCACAGACCACCACUGUGGUGCUGAGAAGUGGAUGGCAGCAGCGGCUGUGCUGCAGGCACCGGGCCCUGGGGAGCCGUCCUCAUCAAACAUAGCUCCUCGGGGUGCUGGGCGCUGUCAGCUGCAUGCUGGCUCCUGUGCAGCACUGGGUGUGACACCCCAGCAUGGGGCGAUUUUCUAUGAAGACAAUUUACUAGAACCCUUUCUGAGGUCUUGUCUCCAGGGGAAAAUUCUCCAGCACUGCUGUUGUGGGAUAAACGGUUCUGCAAUAAACUUUAAAAUAGCUGCCCAUGGGGAUGCAGUAGGCUGGAAAAAAACAGUCAUUUUGUUCUGGUGUGAUCACUCCAUUUUGUGAUGCUGGCUCUUUCCCCUCCCUCCCUUCCACUGGAAAUCAGCAUGCUCAAUUCAAAUGCCAGCACUUUGCAGGCAAGGAUUGGAGGGACGCAGCUUGGCCUGCAAGAGGCCGGUUCCCUGGCUUUCCGGGCUGGAGUCCUCUCCUCACUGCUUCAAAGCAACAAACUGUGCAAAUGUGCAAAAGCUCGCGUGCAUCACACUCAGGGAUGUGAAUCCUCAGCCCUCUCCAGGGACCAGCAUGGGAGCCAAGAUGUGGAAACACAAAUAACGGUCCUGGGCAGAGCCUUCCAGCAGCUGUGACUAACAUCAGACCACUUGGCAGAGGGCUGCCUGCUCUUGCUCUCUGCCUCUCUCUGAGAUCCUCAGACUGUUGCUGUGGAAUCCCUGCCUGGGGAAGGAGAGGAUGGAGGAGAUGUAGGCUUCUGGCCCAGGAUUUCCUUCAGCCUGUGCGCAGGCAUGGGCCACAUGUAGCAGUACCAAGAGCAAGGCACAGGAAGGGCAAUGCGUGAGACUGUUUGUGUGAAACACAUACACCGGGGCUGGCUGAGGGCAGCCAGGACCUCUCUGUUUUCCUGGGUUUGGAAACAAGGCCCAGCCUGCCUGCCACUAAGACUGCUCUUGUGCUAGCAGCAGCCAGCAUCCAGCAGGAGGAAGUUUUCGGGAUGGGCUGCUUGGCAGGGAGGAAAGGGGCGAGGGUGUGGAAGAGGAUAAACCAGCAGUGCUCCUCCACUGCGGUGCAUAAGCAGGCCUCAGAUUUUCUCCCAGGGCUCAAACUUAGCAAGGCAGAGCUCUUAUCAGUGCCCUCUGCUCCAGGCCCUUCCUGAGACUGCAGGCUCCACACUUGCUCAGGCCCAGGCUGCUAUCUGGCGCCAGUGAGAUGAGGCAGCUUGACUUGGGGGCUAGAAAUCUGCUGGCCACCUGCAUGCAGAAGCAGGCUCAGAGGAGAAAACCUGUGCAGACCUCUGUGUGCUCUGUGCUACAAUGCAGAUGCUGCUGGGACAAGACAUUUCUCAUCAAAUGAGUACAGCUGUGGCUGUGGUCUAUCAUCCCUUCCCCAGAAGGACCGUUCUCUCUGAAUCUCCAUCCCCUCCAAGCAGGGAGCCACAGCACUUUGACAGUGGUCUGCCCUGCAAACCAUGGCUCCAAUACUGUUUGCAGUGAAGUCCAAAAGCAGGAAGAAGAUAGGUCCCCUUCUCUUUUUUUUUUCUUUUUUUUUUCUGGGCAGUCAAUUCACCUCUGGAACCCAGCUGCCUAUGAGGUGCAGAGAGAAAGAUUCUAAAAGACAGCAAUAAAGAGGACGUGGGUGCAGGGGGAGGAGGAAGGCAGGGAGGGGGAGAGGAGGGGUACGUAUGUCACAGCUUACCUCAGAGCCAGAAUUAGAAGCCGGGUUAAAAAAAAUAAAAUCACAGCAGGAAAUAAUGUGUGGCUUAAAAUAGCAACAUCAAAUGGGAGCGAGAAUGGGGAGUGGGUGGCAUUUGAGGUUGCUGCUCUGUUCCUCCCUCAAUGGCAGGGUUAUUAAUAUGUCUACGCUACUUGUGUUUAUGUAACAAAGGGCACUAAAGGCCAAAGCUGUAUUUUCUCUAACACUGCAGGGGAGUCUGUGAAUCUUUUCUUCUCCCCAUAGCAUUAAGUGGGAGGAUCUGCACUUGUGCUUCCUGCCCCAGAAACAGAGAAUAUCCACGCUGCAGCCGUGCACACAGUUACGUUUCCAUGGCUUGGCAGGGUGGAACAGAGACCUUUAAGGCUUUGAAGGCGCUUGUCUGUCUUUCAUUGCUCCCCACAGAAAAAGCUCAUUCCCAGAGCACACCUGUAAAUGUGGCCGGGUUGUCUCUGGCUGGAGGCUGCGCUGUAAUAGUAGGCGAAGUACCACUGCAUGUUACUACACAUUUCCCUGCUAGUUGUGUGUAUUUGUAGUGAAUCACAGACCUUUGAGAUGGGUAAUGCAGUCCAUUUCCUUGCCAGCUCAGGGCUGUUCCCAGCCAUAUAAAUUAAUCCCUCACGUUUCUCUUGGGAGACUGUGGCACAGACUGAUCAAUCUUUUUUCUGUACACCUUGUACGUUGGGAGCUAAUAUUAAAGACAGGAAAACACUCACAGUUUUGCUAAGAAAGGAAUAUUUCUUUUGGGUGCGUGAGGAAAGAGCCCACUACAUCACCACUCUUUGAUGGUGCUGAAGUAACCCAGAAAAGCACCAAGUGAUGGCACUUGUUUUUUAGACUAAUGUGAUCACUUCUGGACUAAAAAGCAGAACAAGCCUGCUCUGAACUUGUGGAGAAAGGUGGGAGGGUGUGCAAAGGGAGCUCCAAGGGAAGGCCGGCCUGUCACUGGGCACACUUGGUACUUUUAGCUCAUCUGAAUGGCAGCGUGGUACUCAAGCCAAUCUGUACCUGGUCCCCUCAGUGCAAAGGCAAAAAACGGGGCUUUUCUUCACCACUGAGCAAAACGCAUCAGCCCGCAGUCCUGCACAGGCACUCCUAUCCAAAGGUCAGUCUGGGGCAAAUAGCACAGGACCAGCUUUGUCACAUGAUUAAAACCUGCUGCACAGACCUGAUUCUCUGAUACACUCUGGCAUCGGUGAGUAUCUUUGACAUAAGCUGGGACAUGCUGCUGUCAGGGGAAGGAGAGUCAGGCCCAGCUCUGAUGCAUAUCUUCCCACAGGCGGGCAGAGCCACGCAAUUUGUUUAAACAUGGCAUGCUGGUGGCUGUAGACAGAGAUCACUCCCAGCAACUCAAUCAACAUGCAUAAUAUUCUGCUAAAAUUCAACCGUGGUAAAUAUCUCCACCAUGCUAUCCCUCCAAGCAAAUAUAGUACCUGUAUGGAAGAAAUUCCUCAGGACGUUUCCUGUCUGGAGCCGAAGCUCGCCAGGGACUGAAUUUCCUGUGAGGCGGGAGUUGGGAAUGCAAAGCAAAGAAGCUAAGAAGAAAAUGCAAUGAUACACAUUUGGACCUGCUCUACAAAGAUCCUCCCCAGCAAGCACAUUUUCUCCAUUUAAAUAAAAAUGAAGCAGUCAGAUUUGCAAAUAUUGGCUGGGCUAUUUUUCAUUUGUGAUUCUUAUUUUUACCUCACUGCUUCUCUUUCUGUCUAUUUUUUCCAGCUGUGAUUCUGUGACUUACACAUCCUGAAAAUGAAAGGGGUUGUUUUUGCCAAUAGCAAAGUGCUAUGCAUCCUUUCAACCAUCUGGAAAUAUAUUUUUUAUUCUUCCCCUCUCCCAACCACACACGCACGUGCACACACACAACCAAGUCUUUGUUUCUCGGAAUCAUUUCCCGCACCAAAGCUGAUGCUCAUGAAAAGAAUUCAGUGAAAAAGUUCCACGGGCAUUAAAGGGCUGAAUAAACAGGGCAACUUCCUGAGCACUCUUUCUCAUCCAAACUGCCACCUCAUGAGGAAGAGAUGAAUGCAACGGAGCAUACAGUUUAGUGGCAGGCGAUUAGGAGAAGUAACAUCUCCUGUUCUUCUGUCCUGGCUCUGCUACAAUCUCCUUUGUCAUUAGAAGUGAAUUGCCUACCUGCUCAGUGCCUUGGCUAUAAAUAGGGAUACAGAUGCUUUUAACCCCAUGUGAUGAUCGAUGCAUUCAUGUUUGUAAUGUGAGCUGAUGUCCAGAGAUGAAAGAAGUAAUCUGAAGUGAAAAUUACCAUGAUAGCUCUGUGCUGAGACUAAUAGAGUCAAGCAGGACAGUCUGGGAGGCAGAGACUAGACUUGAUCAUCUCUUGCCCAGAGGCAAAUGUGAAGUGAGCUAUGUCACCACGCUAUCCAGAUGACUGCAGGUCUGCAAGAGGAGACAAAGAAGAGGCAGAGCCAUACUGGCUGGUACAAACACGCUUACGGUGGCCAGCUGAGAAUGAAUAACAGCUGCUUGCUCAUCAUCCUGAUUUCUGUCACUACUAGUGUUUCUGAACGCUGAAGUGUCCCAGUGCUGUGACUCAGGGCUGUGAGUCAUGGGCUGUAUGUCUCUACCACAUGGAAUCACUCACUUGCUCUCUCAGAUGAGAUUGCAGAAAUCACAGAUCAUCUUGGGUCUCCUACAGUGGUAAGUCUUAACAAUAUAGGCAGAUAUUUAUAAACACAUCCAGAAAAGAUUCAUCCCUUCUCCCCUGACAGUCUAUCAGGAAUUCAUGUUAGAGAUCAGUUUCACAUGCACACUAAAAUACCAAGAAAAGAAGUGGAAGUCUUUUUUUCCUUGCGUGGACGUUUAAUUCCUAUGUCCCCAAACCAAACUCUAGGAAAUCCAGUCAAGAUGAGAAGCAGUGAAGGCAGCAUUCAGCCUUUUGUCUCCCCUGCUUUUACUGGGCCCAUCUUUAGUACUGUGAUGCCGACAGCAGGACAACACGCUCCUUUUUGGCUCCUGAUCUGCCUCUUCCUCACCCACGCUCUCCAGCAUUCCUGGAAGGUGUUGUGCUGGUGUGAAGCUGUGGCAAGGAACUGCUCUCACUGCUCACAGUUGGUCUGGAUCCUCCCCCUAAAACCAGAUAAAAGAUGGAGGUAAUCUCUUCGUGAGAGCUUUCUGUUUGUUGAGGCAGGAUGAGUACUCUUGUAAAGUCUGAAUGAAUGCAGACAACUCAGGGACCCAUAAUAGGAAAGCAAACACAAUACUCCAAGCACAGGGACUCCCGAGUGAUAGGAAGUGACUUCAGCACACCAGUUCCUCUAUUCCCGUAACUCUCUGUGGGUUUGCCAAUAAUCCUUAUCGUCUUUGCUGAGAAAGGAGUGCCUUUGCUAACUGAUUACAUCCUCCUUUCCUUACUGUGGUCAGCCGGUUGCUGCAUUCCAGAAGCAGCUGGCAUGAUUGAUAGAUAAACACAUGUCCCAGUGUAUUUUUCCUUGUCUGCUACAGCCGUAUGCAGCUCUGCAGCAGUUCUAGAAAUGGGUGAAACAACACAGAACAGUUUUGUCACCAGUACUGUUUCCUAGAAACAUUAACCCAGCGAAACUCCACUUUUUUCCGUACUUCCAAUCGAAGCAGCACAGAUCUCUCUGCAGGACAGUCACAGCCGCCCCUACCUCCCCUGACCAGAGCUUGUCCCACAGCCCAGCAGCCCCUGCAGACAAGGCGGUUCAUCUGCAGGACCAAGAAGAUGCAGUACCCAAAGCGACCCAGAGAUGCUAGGCUUGAAGGGAUCCUCUCAGCUACUGCCCAUGUCCCACACUGAGGCUGCACUUGGUCUAGCAAUGCAACCUAUGACUAGCCAAGAAACAUCCCAAACUCAAGUCUUUUGAGAAUGAGCAUGAGUGCAUUUGUUCUGGAAUUUUAGCGCCUUUGAUUAAAGCUCUGGGCACCUUGACUUCAAGAUUUUUGGGUAGCCUGGAGGCAUUCUUUGAAUGCAACAGUACCGUCCAGUUAAGUAAUAAAAUGCUUCAGGACCACCUUUGCUCCAAGCACAUCACCCUAUUUUAAACAGCACAUCAUGACAAGAGUCAUCUCAGGCCAAAUUCCUCUUU